CCUAGUGCAACUCUAACAGCAACAUCUCAUACUUCUGAUCAGCUGAAAAUUGCUGAAAAUUUGGUACAGGGUGAUAAUGUGUUGCCUGAGGAAAAUGAGAUUGAGAACUCAGAUACAAAUGAUGAACAAACUCAAGUGGUGAAUCAAGAAAGGGUUACAAUUGAUCAUCAGACUGAAAUAAAUGAUGAGAUGAAUAAAGGUGAAGCAGAAUCGAAGAAACAUCUUACAGAACACCGUAUGAUUACAAGAAGCAAAGCAGAUAUUUUUAAACCAAAAGUCUACUCAAUUCAGUGUAAAGAGUAUAGAAUGGAAUCUGAACCUAACAAUGUACUUGAGGCCUUGUUAAACAAAAAUUGGAGCAAAGCAAUGGAGGAUGAAUAUAGAGCAUUAAUAAGGAACAAAACAUGGAAAUUGGUGCCACUAUUGAACAGUCAAAAAGUGAUAGGAAAUAAGUGGGUGUUCAGAGUUAAGCGCAACACUGAAGGGAAAAUACUAUAAUACAAAGCCAGACUUGUUGCAAAAGGAUUCUUACAGACUUCUGGUGUGGAUUAUCACGAGACAUUCAGUCAAGUAAUUAAAGCUUCUAUUGUAAGGAUAGUUCUUACAAUUGCAGUUUCAAAGGUUUGGAGUAUAAGACAGAUUGACAUAUAUAAUGCCUUCUUGAAUGGCAAACUGGAUGAAGAUGUUUAUAUGAGCCAGCCAGAAGGGUUUGUUGAUAAGGAGAAUCCUACCUUUGUGUGCAAACUUGAAAAGGCUCUUUAUGGACUAAAGCAAGCACCUAGAGCAUGGUAUGAGCAACUAAAGAAGACACUUCUGGAUUGGAAGUGUGUAAAAUCCAAGGCAGACAACUCCUUGUUUUCUAUAUGAAUCAGAGGCAGGUAAUUUUUGCUUUGGUAUAUGUUGAUGACAUAAUGAUUACAGGUAAUGAUCACGGAAUGUUGUAAGGCUUUAUUGAUAACUUAAAUACUCAAUUUGCACUAAAGGACAUGGGUGAGUUGCACUAUUUUCUUGGAAUUGAGGUAACAAGGAAUGAGUUAGGAAUGCAUCUUACUCAAAUCAAGUAUACAAAGGACUUACUACAAAGGUUCAAUUUUGAACACCUUAAACCUUGUGCUACACCUAUGAUGGUAGGUAAGUGUAUCUCUAAAAAUGAAGGUGAACCAAUGGAAGAUCCUUCCUAAUACAAAAGUGCAAUAGGUGGCUUGCAAUACCUAGCAUAUACAAGACCUGACAUAACCUUUGCAGUGAACAAAAUGAGCCAAUUUCUACAAACACCUUUAGAUUUACAUUGGAAGCCAGUGAAAAGGAUAUUUAGAUAUCUGAAAGGGACAAUCGAACAAGGUAUAUGGAUCCAAAAGAGUGACAAUAUAGAUAUUACUGGCUUUUCAGAUGCAGACUGGGCAUCACGCCCUGAUGACGGAAGGUCAACAGCUGGUUAUUGUGUCUUUUUAGGAGAGACCUUGGUUGUAUGGUCUUCAAAGAAACAGCAAGUUGUGGCGAGGUCUAGCACAGAGUCUAAGUACUGAGCUUUGGCGCAAGCAACUGCUGAGAUCACUUGGAUUGAAUCCGUACUAAAGGAAAUCAAGUUACACUCUAUUUUACCUUCUGCAAUGUGGUGUGACAACCUUAGUGCCAGUGCCUUAGCUUCAAAUCUAGUUUACCAUGCUCGUACAAAGCACGUUGAGUUAGAUAUACACUUUGUAAGGGAUAAAGUUCUUGAAGGAAAGUUGAAAAUACAAUAUGUUCCAUCAUUUGAUCAAGUUGCAGAUUUGUUAACCAAACCUCUUUCACAAACCAUAUUUUUGUUUCUCAAGGAUAAGCUUGGAGUUAAAGAUUAAGCUCCAGCUUGAGAGAGGAUGUUGAAAUAUACACCUAUAGCCAGCAUCAGAUAUGGCCGCUAAUGUGAACCUGUGGGACCACCAUGUGGCUGUUGUAACUGUAUUGAAAAUAACGUGCAAGCUAUAUUAUUCUUUCUUGCUCACCACUCCAAAUUUGUGUAUAUAUAUUGUAACCUGCUCAUUGUAAAGUGUAAAGCAAUAAAUAUAAACUGUUUUCUAAAUUUACAAAACUUUCCAUCCUUCAUUUGAU
rnacentral:lncRNA from 1 species